UCGAGAAUCUUCCGCAAUGGGCGAAAGCCUGACGGAGCGACGCCGCGUGAUUGAUGAAGUCCUUCGGGACGUAAAGCUCUUUUAUGCGUGAGAAAGUUAUUGAUGUUAGCGCAUGAAUAAGGGGCUCCUAACUCUGUGCCAGCAGGAGCGGUAAUACAGAGGCCCCGAGCAUUAUCCGGAAUCACUGGGCGUAAAGGGUGUGUAGGCGGUUAUGUUAGUCUUUUGUGAAAGGUCUUGGGCUUAACCCAGGAACCGCAGGGGAAACGGCAUAACUCAGAGGAUGUGAGAGGUAAAGGGAACUCAUGGUGUAGGGGUGAAAUCCGUUGAUAUCAUGGGGAACACCAAAUGCGAAGGCACUUUACUGGCACACUCCUGACGCUGAGACACGAAAGCGUGGGAAUCGAACG
rnacentral:rRNA from 1 species